UGCUGGAGGUAUCAGAAGUGCGAAUGCUGACAUAAGUAACGAUAAAGCGGGUGAAAAGCCCGCUCGCCGGAAGACCAAGGGUUCCUGUCCAACGUUAAUCGGGGCAGGGUGAGUCGACCCCUAAGGCGAGGCCGAAAGGCGUAGUCGAUGGGAAACAGGUUAAUAUUCCUGUACUUGGUGUUACUGCGAAGGGGGGACGGAGAAGGCUAUGUUGGCCGGGCGACGGUUGUCCCGGUUUAAGCGUGUAGGCUGGUUUUCCAGGCAAAUCCGGAAAAUCAAGGCUGAGGCGUGAUGACGAGGCACUACGGUGCUGAAGCAACAAAUGCCCUGCUUCCAGGAAAAGCCUCUAAGCAUCAGGUAACAUCAAAUCGUACCCCAAACCGACACAGGUGGUCAGGUAGAGAAUACCAAGGCGCUUGAGAGAACUCGGGUGAAGGAACUAGGCAAAAUGGUGCCGUAACUUCGGGAGAAGGCACGCUGAUACGUAGGUGAAGCGACUUGCUCGUGGAGCUGAAAUCAGUCGAAGAUACCAGCUGGCUGCAACUGUUUAUUAAAAACACAGCACUGUGCAAACACGAAAGUGGACGUAUACGGUGUGACGCCUGCCCGGUGCCGGAAGGUUAAUUGAUGGGGUUAGCGGUAACGCGAAGCUCUUGAUCGAAGCCCCGGUAAACGGCGGCCGUAACUAUAACGGUCCUAAGGUAGCGAAAUUCCUUGUCGGGUAAGUUCCGACCUGCACGAAUGGCGUAAUGAUGGCCAGGCUGUCUCCACCCGAGACUCAGUGAAAUUGAACUCGCUGUGAAGAUGCAGUGUACCCGCGGCAAGACGGAAAGACCCCGUGAACCUUUACUAUAGCUUGACACUGAACAUUGAGCCUUGAUGUGUAGGAUAGGUGGGAGGCUUUGAAGUGUGGACGCCAGUCUGCAUGGAGCCGACCUUGAAAUACCACCCUUUAAUGUUUGAUGUUCUAACGUUGGCCCCUGAUCGGGGUUGCGGACAGUGUCUGGUGGGUAGUUUGACUGGGGCGGUCUCCUCCUAAAGAGUAACGGAGGAGCACGAAGGUUGGCUAAUCCUGGUCGGACAUCAGGAGGUUAGUGCAAUGGCAUAAGCCAGCUUGACUGCGAGCGUGACGGCGCGAGCAGGUGCGAAAGCAGGUCAUAGUGAUCCGGUGGUUCUGAAUGGAAGGGCCAUCGCUCAACGGAUAAAAGGUACUCCGGGGAUAACAGGCUGAUACCGCCCAAGAGUUCAUAUCGACGGCGGUGUUUGGCACCUCGAUGUCGGCUCAUCACAUCCUGGGGCUGAAGUAGGUCCCAAGGGUAUGGCUGUUCGCCAUUUAAAGUGGUACGCGAGCUGGGUUUAGAACGUCGUGAGACAGUUCGGUCCCUAUCUGCCGUGGGCGCUGGAGAACUGAGGGGGGCUGCUCCUAGUACGAGAGGACCGGAGUGGACGCAUCACUGGUGUUCGGGUUGUCAUGCCAAUGGCACUGCCCGGUAGCUAAAUGCGGAAGAGAUAAGUGCUGAAAGCAUCUAAGCACGAAACUUGCCCCGAGAUGAGUUCUCCCUGACUCCUUGAGAGUCCUGAAGGAACGUUGAAGACGACGACGUUGAUAGGCCGGGUGUGUAAGCGCAGCGAUGCGUUGAGCUAACCGGUACUAAUGAACCGUGAGGCUUAACCUUACAACGCCGAAG
rnacentral:rRNA from 1 species